GUCAUCGCAAAAUCAAUGGCCGGGCGUGGAAACCCAGUAGACUAGACGGCGCAUCAACACGCGCUAGCGUGUUUAAC
rnacentral:sRNA from 1 species